rnacentral:ncRNA from 1 species
CAAAGUCUUGGUCCUGAACCUCCCAUUGUUUUAAUCUAGCCUUACACAUGCCAGUCUCCGCACCCCCGUGCCCAAGCCCACUGCCCACCUUCCACUGCGCCUGGAGCAGGUAUCAGGCACGCCCAUAGCAGCCCAAAACGCCCCGCUCUGCCACGCCCCCACGGGUCACAGCAGUGAUUAACAUUAAGCAAUGAGCCUAUAAUCAAGCUCGACUUAGGCAUAGCCACGCCACCAAGGACCGGCAAACCUCGUGCCAGCCGCCGCGGUUACACGAGGGGCCCUAAAUAAUGGAUCACGGCGUAAAAUGUGACUAGAAUAAAGUUUUUCAUCAGAGACUAAAACCAUGGUGCAGAAGUAAAAUUCUACCACCCCCAAGAAACCCCACCAAGCCUCCACGCCAAAAACACAUUUGACCUCACGAAAAUUAAGACACAAACUAGGAUUAGAUACCCUACUAUGCUUAAUCGUCACCACAUGCAGUCACCACAAACCACUGCACGCCAGAGAAGUACAAGCGAAAAGCUAGAAACUCAAAGGACUUGGCGGUGUCCCAUAUCAACCUAGAGGAGCCUGUCCCAUAAUCGAUACUCCACGUUAAACCCAACCUGCAUUCGCCUGCCAGCCUAUAUACCGCCGUCGCCAGCCUGCCUAAUGAUAGUCACAACGCAGGCAAAAGAGGCCCUCCUCCUAAUACGUCAGGUCAAGGUGUAGCUAAUAUACAGGUCACAGAUGGGCUACAUUUUCUUAAUACAAGAAAACCACCGCAUGCACCAUGAAACACAGGCCGAAAGGCGGAUUUAGCAGUAAGUCGGACAAGAAAGUCCAGCUGAAACUUGCUCUGGGACACGCACACACCGCCCGUCACCCUCCUCAACACACCAAACCACAUACAUAAUAUACCCAACCUUUAAUAGAUGAGGUAAGUCGUAACAAGGUAAGCCCACUGGAAAGUGGGCUUGGCAGACC